GAUGAACGCUGGCGGCGUGCCUAAUACAUGCAAGUCGAGCGAACGGACGAGAAGCUUGCUUCUCUGAUGUUAGCGGCGGACGGGUGAGUAACACGUGGAUAACCUACCUAUAAGACUGGGAUAACUUCGGGAAACCGGAGCUAAUACCGGAUAAUAUUUUGAACCGCAUGGUUCAAAAGUGAAAGACGGUCUUGCUGUCACUUAUAGAUGGAUCCGCGCUGCAUUAGCUAGUUGGUAAGGUAACGGCUUACCAAGGCAACGAUGCAUAGCCGACCUGAGAGGGUGAUCGGCCACACUGGAACUGAGACACGGUCCAGACUCCUACGGGAGGCAGCAGUAGGGAAUCUUCCGCAAUGGGCGAAAGCCUGACGGAGCAACGCCGCGUGAGUGAUGAAGGUCUUCGGAUCGUANAACUCUGUUAUUAGGGAAGAACAUAUGUGUAAGUAACUGUGCGCAUCUUGACGGUACCUAAUCAGAAAGCCACGGCUAACUACGUGCCAGCAGCCGCGGUAAUACGUAGGUGGCAAGCGUUAUCCGGAAUUAUUGGGCGUAAAGCGCGCGUAGGCGGUUUUUUAAGUCUGAUGUGAAAGCCCACGGCUCAACCGUGGAGGGUCAUUGGAAACUGGAAAACUUGAGUGCAGAAGAGGAAAGUGGAAUUCCAUGUGUAGCGGUGAAAUGCGCAGAGAUAUGGAGGAACACCAGUGGCGAAGGCGACUUUCUGGUCUGUAACUGACGCUGAUGUGCGAAAGCGUGGGGAUCAAACAGGAUUAGAUACCCUGGUAGUCCACGCCGUAAACGAUGAGUGCUAAGUGUUAGGGGGUUUCCGCCCCUUAGUGCUGCAGCUAACGCAUUAAGCACUCCGCCUGGGGAGUACGACCGCAAGGUUGAAACUCAAAGGAAUUGACGGGGACCCGCACAAGCGGUGGAGCAUGUGGUUUAAUUCGAAGCAACGCGAAGAACCUUACCAAAUCUUGACAUCCUUUGACAACUCUAGAGAUAGAGCUUUCCCCUUCGGGGGACAAAGUGACAGGUGGUGCAUGGUUGUCGUCAGCUCGUGUCGUGAGAUGUUGGGUUAAGUCCCGCAACGAGCGCAACCCUUAAGCUUAGUUGCCAUCAUUAAGUUGGGCACUCUAAGUUGACUGCCGGUGACAAACCGGAGGAAGGUGGGGAUGACGUCAAAUCAUCAUGCCCCUUAUGAUUUGGGCUACACACGUGCUACAAUGGACAAUACAAAGGGCAGCGAAACCGCGAGGUCAAGCAAAUCCCAUAAAGUUGUUCUCAGUUCGGAUUGUAGUCUGCAACUCGACUACAUGAAGCUGGAAUCGCUAGUAAUCGUAGAUCAGCAUGCUACGGUGAAUACGUUCCCGGGUCU
rnacentral:rRNA from 1 species